rnacentral:rRNA from 1 species
GACGUAGGUGGCGAGCGUUGUUCGGAAUUAUUGGGCAUAAAGCGCAUGUAGGUGGUCAUGUUAGUUGGGUGUGAAGGCUUUCGGCUCAACCGAGGAACUGUGUCCGAUACUGCAUGGCUUGAGGUCCGGAGGGGAGAGUGGAAUUUUUGGUGGAGCGGUGAAAUGCGUAGAGAUUGGGAAGAACGCCGGCGGCGAAAGCGACUCUUUGGUCGGAUCCUGAUGCUGAGGUGCGAAAGCUAGGGGAGCAAACGGG